UACGUAGGGUGCGAGCGUUAAUCGGAAUUACUGGGCGUAAAGCGUGCGUAGGCGGUUCUCCAAGUCCGUUGUGAAAGCCCCGGGCUCAACCUGGGAAUGGCAGUGGAAACUAGGGGACUGGAAUCUGGCAGAGGGGGGUGGAAUGCCGCGUGUAGCAGUGAAAUGCGUAGAGAUGCGGCGGAACACCGAUGGCGAAGGCAGGUCUCUGGGCUGAUACUGACGCUCAUGCACGAAAGCGUGGGGAGCAAACAGG
rnacentral:rRNA from 1 species